rnacentral:rRNA from 1 species
UACGGGGGGUGCAAGCGUUGUUCGGAAUUAUUGGGCGUAAAGAGCGUGUAGGCGGUUUGUUUAGUCUGAUGUGAAAGCCCUGGGCUCAACCCAGGAAGUGCAUUGGAAACUGGCAGACUUGAAUACGGGAGAGGGUAGUGGAAUUCCUAGUGUAGGAGUGAAAUCCGUAGAUAUUAGGAGGAACACCGGUGGCGAAGGCGGCUACCUGGACCGAUAUUGACGCUGAGGCGCGAAAGCGUGGGUAGCAAACAGG